ACAGGGAUUGCCCUAGUAACGGCGAGUGAAGCGGCAACAGCUCAAAUUUGAAAUCUGGCGUCUUUGGCGUCCGAGUUGUAAUUUGCAGAGGGCGCUUUGGCAUCGGCAGCGGUCCAAGUUCCUUGGAACAGGACGUCACAGAGGGUGAGAAUCCCGUACGUGAUCGCUAGCCUUUACCGUGUAAAGCCCCUUCGACGAGUCGAGUUGUUUGGGAAUGCAGCUCUAAAUGGGAGGUAAAUUUCUUCUAAAGCUAAAUACUGGCCAGAGACCGAUAGCGCACAAGUAGAGUGAUCGAAAGAUGAAAAGCACUUUGGAAAGAGAGUUAAAAAGCACGUGAAAUUGUUGAAAGGGAAGCGCUUGCAGCCAGACUUGCCUGUAGUUGCUCAUCCGGGUUUCUACCCGGUGCACUCUUCUAUAGGCAGGCCAGCAUCAGUUUGGGCGGUUGGAUAAAGGUCUCUGUCAUGUACCUCUCUUCGGGGAGAACUUAUAGGGGAGACGACAUGCAACCAGCCCGGACUGAGGUCCGCGCAUCUGCUAGGAUGCUGGCGUAAUGGCUGUAAGCGGCCCGUCUUGAAACACGGACCAAGGAGUCUAACAUCUAUGCGAGUGUUUGGGUGUCAAGCCCGAACGCGUAAUGAAAGUGAACGGAGGUGGGAACCUUUCGGGGUGCACCAUCGACCGAUCCUGAUGUCUUCGGAUGGAUUUGAGUAAGAGCAUAGCUGUUGGGACCCGAAAGAUGGUGAACUAUGCUUGAAUAGGGUGAAGCCAGAGGAAACUCUGGUGGAGGCUCGCAGCGGUUCUGACGUGCAAAUCGAUCGUCAAAUUUGGGCAUAGGGGCGAAAGACUAAUCGAACUAUCUAGUAGCUGGUUCCUGC
rnacentral:rRNA from 1 species